AAGAAAGAAAGAAAGAAAGAAAGAAAGAAAGAAAGAAAGAAAGAAGUAUCUAAAGAAAGAAAUACUUUAAAAAAUGUAAAUGAUUGUCCUUGAAAGCCAUUGGAAAGACACCACAUUGGAAAUGUCUACCUAUGACUGGCUUUUCUUCCAGUGGUGAAAGACUGUGUCUGUAAAGUUGUCGGUGUUUGUCCAGACCCCAUUCUGUAUGGAAAAACACAUACUUUUAAACACUACUAUCACCGUGAGCUCUGCAAGGUGUGUGCCCUUGAAGAGGCAGAUGUGAACUGACAGCGAUGGAGCCAAAGCCAGAUGACAGCACUACCUGUCUGGACUGACUCAAGGGUGUCCACUCACUUGAGCAUGUGUUGUUGCAGUGGGAGUGUCCAUCCAUGACCUCCCUCACCGUUUUGCUGACCUCAUAUAUGGAAUGAAUUAGAUUCAAUGAAUUUGUGAUAGAACUCCCCUGAAUAAUAAAGAUCAAGAGCAUAUCUGCAA